rnacentral:rRNA from 1 species
GACGAACGCUGGCGGCGUGCUUAACACAUGCAAGUCGAACGGAAAGGCCCUGCUUUUGUGGGGUGCUCGAGUGGCGAACGGGUGAGUAACACGUGAGUAACCUGCCCUUGACUUUGGGAUGACUUCAGGAAACUGGGGCUAAUACCGGAUAGGAGCUCCUGCUGCAUGGUGGGGGUUGGAAAGUUUCGGCGGUUGGGGAUGGACUCGCGGCUUAUCAGCUUGUUGGUGGGGUAGUGGCUUACCAAGGCUUUGACGGGUAGCCGGCCUGAGAGGGUGACCGGCCACAUUGGGACUGAGAUACGGCCCAGACUCCUACGGGAGGCAGCAGUGGGGAAUAUUGCACAAUGGGCGGAAGCCUGAUGCAGCAACGCCGCGUGCGGGAUGACGGCCUUCGGGUUGUAAACCGCUUUCGCCUGUGACGAAGCGUGAGUGACGGUAAUGGGUAAAGAAGCACCGGCUAACUACGUGCCAGCAGCCGCGGUGAUACGUAGGGUGCGAGCGUUGUCCGGAUUUAUUGGGCGUAAAGGGCUCGUAGGUGGUUGAUCGCGUCGGAAGUGUAAUCUUGGGGCUUAACCCUGAGCGUGCUUUCGAUACGGGUUGACUUGAGGAAGGUAGGGGAGAAUGGAAUUCCUGGUGGAGCGGUGGAAUGCGCAGAUAUCAGGAGGAACACCAGUGGCGAAGGCGGUUCUCUGGGCCUUUCCUGACGCUGAGGAGCGAAAGCGUGGGGAGCGAACAGGCUUAGAUACCCUGGUAGUCCACGCUGUAAACGGUGGGUACUAGGUGUGGGGUCCAUUCCACGGGUUCCGUGCCGUAGCUAACGCUUUAAGUACCCCGCCUGGGGAGUACGGCCGCAAGGCUAAAAUUCAAAGGAAUUGACGGGGCCCCGCACAAGCGGCGGAGCAUGCGGAUUAAUUCGAUGCAACGCGUAGAACCUUACCUGGGUUUGACAUGGAUCGGGAGUGCUCAGAGAUGGGUGUGCCUCUUUUGGGGUCGGUUCACAGGUGGUGCAUGGCUGUCGUCAGCUCGUGUAGUGAGAUGUUGGGUUAAGUCCCGCAACGAGCGCAACCCUUGUUCACUGUUGCCAGCACGUUAUGGUGGGGACUCAGUGGAGACCGCCGGGGUCAACUCGGAGGAAGGUGGGGAUGACGUCAAGUCAUCAUGCCCCUUAUGUCCAGGGCUUCACGCAUGCUACAAUGGCUGGUACAGAGAGUGGCGAGCCUGUGAGGGUGAGCGAAUCUCGGAAAGCCGGUCUCAGUUCGGAUUGGGGUCUGCAACUCGACCUCAUGAAGUCGGAGUCGCUAGUAAUCGCAGAUCAGCAACGCUGCGGUGAAUACGUUCCCGGGGCU